AGUGAACGCUGGCGGUAGGCCUAACACAUGCAAGUCGAACGGCAGCACAGUAAGAGCUUGCUCUUACGGGUGGCGAGUGGCGGACGGGUGAGGAAUACAUCGGAAUCUACUUUUUCGUGGGGGAUAACGUAGGGAAACUUACGCUAAUACCGCAUACGACCUACGGGUGAAAGCAGGGGAUCUUCGGACCUUGCGCGAUUGAAUGAGCCGAUGUCGGAUUAGCUAGUUGGCGGGGUAAAGGCCCACCAAGGCGACGAUCCGUAGCUGGUCUGAGAGGAUGAUCAGCCACACUGGAACUGAGACACGGUCCAGACUCCUACGGGAGGCAGCAGUAGGGAAUAUUGGACAAUGGGCGCAAGCCUGAUGCAGCCAUGCCGCGUGAGUGAAGAAGGCCUUCGGAUCGUAAAGCCCUUUUAUUAGGGAAGAAAAACUGCGUGAUAAUCUACCCAUGUUCUGACGGUACCCAAAGAGUAAGCAACGGCUAACUUCGUG
rnacentral:rRNA from 1 species